rnacentral:lncRNA from 1 species
CCCAGCAGCCAGGUGACAAUAUUUGCAUUUUACCACAACCUAAGACUAACACCUCAAGUCUUUCUGAUUCAUCAGGGAGGCAGGGUUUGCAAUCCAGUAAUAAAUACCAGGCCAGAAAGCAGAGCCACGUCUGCGGUAGAGAGUGCCGUGGCUCAAGUGUGUGUGCCUCCUGCAGUUCCAGGGCCUAGAGGUGAUCCUCCCUUUGGAUUCAGAGAUCAGAGGGCAAAAAUCAUGACGCAGUUUAAGUCUCCCAGGGACCAAUACAGAGUUCACGGUGAGAUUCACUUGGCCUUAAAUGGAGUUUUGAAACUUACUUUGAAAUGUAAUCCUGGGCUACUCACUUAACCUGCAGAACCUUCAUUUUCUCCCCUGUAAGAGCAGGUUAACAGUACCAGUCUCAGCAGCAGAUCUGAUGAUCAUCUACUCUGCAAUAACUCAGAAUCUAUGUAAGCGGCCUAGAAGAGCAACUAGAAGAACUUAGGAAGAUUACCAAAUGCAAGUAAACCAGCCCCACCUGAGAUGGCCGUAUUUUCAGUUUUGCAACCUAGAGGACAUUGGCAAUGUAUGGA